rnacentral:rRNA from 1 species
AUUGAACGCUGGCGGCAUGCCUUACACAUGCAAGUCGAGCGGCAGCGCGGGGGCGAACCCUCGCGGCGAGCGGCGGACGGGUGAGUAAUACAUCGGAACGUGUCCUGUCGUGGGGGAGUAACCAGUCGAAAGACUGGCUAAUACCGCAUGAGAUCGAAAGAUGAAAGCGGGGACCGGCAAGGCCUCGCGCGAUUGGAGCGGCCGAUGCCGGAUUAGCUAGUUGGCGGGGUAAAAGGCCCACCAAGGCUACGAUCCGUAGCUGGUUUGAGAGAACGACCAGCCACACUGGGACUGAGACACGGCCCAGACUCCUACGGGAGGCAGCAGUGGGGAAUUUUGGACAAUGGGCGCAAGCCUGAUCCAGCCAUGCCGCGUGU